rnacentral:lncRNA from 1 species
AACAAAGAAAAAUAACUCUAGAAAAAUAAAGUGUUUUGGGACAAAAAGCAGAAUCCUUGAGACAAACCAAGUAGCACCCUUUUAUAUCAGUCAAACCCUAACCACUUAUGAUUUAUUUUCCUCCUUGAAUUUAACUUCUUCACAGUCCUAUGCAUGCAUGUCAGCUUCCUCUUUUGAUAAGUCAUGGUCUCUUACUUUGCACGUGAUUAGUCUCUAACCAAUUGGCUUAGUUUUCUCUUUUACUUCAUCUCUUUUGCACUCCAGUAAGCUGCCCACAUAAUUCCAAUAUUAUUUCCCUACAUAGAAUUGGCCAAAGUCAAUACAAAAUAAUAUUUCACUUUAUUUGAUAACUUAAAAAAAUAGUAGACCAAAAUGAAUAAAUUAGUAAAUAAAUAAGCUCGAAGGGUAUAUUUUAGGGACAUAAACGAUGAACUUUUCAGCUAUUAUCACACCUCCCAACUAGCUAGAGCCUAGCAAUUCAAGCGUCUCAAAGGAAACUCUAGUUCAAACUCAAAAACAAGAAAACAAAAACGAAAAAAUAAAUAAAUAAAUAAGUCACUCUCGCAGGGAACUCGAUUACAUUGAGCGUAUGCAACAAGCCUUUAAACCUCAAAAUUACCCAGAGAGGAUGAGUUAUAAUCUCGUGAGGGUUUCCCGGGAUGAUACCCACAAACAUCGAAGUAUGAGGUUAAAACAAUUUGCUCAGUCAAAACUUUGAAAAUAAUUCCAACACCCAACUGUCAUCAACAAAAAU